UUCAUUUUCGUAAGAUAACCGAUAACCUAAAAAUUUAGUAAAAAUUUUGAUUGGAAAAAAAUACAUCGAUAAGGGGGUGUGGGAAAUGGAAAUUAGUGGCUUUUUUGCUGUAGUGUGUGCUAGUUUUUGCUCUGGGCUCUGGCUGGAUCUCUUGUUUAAACAAUUUUAAUCAGCUGAAAGUGGUCUACAAAAAAAACAAGAAGGAAAUGUAUAGCCUUGUGGCUAUGAAAGGCAAAAGAGAGAUAUAAAAAGUGGGACAACAUAAAGUUUAGGGCAACGGCCAUGCAACAGCAUGAAUUUUGUGAACAUUGUUGCCAUAUCUGUUUAUAAUUUAGACAUAUGAAUUUAGACCUUGUUUAAAAUGUUUUUUUUUAUAAUUUAGAUGUUUAUUUCAUAGGUUAGUUUAUUCAUUUAAGUUAGUUUCUUUUUAUUACUAUUUAGUAUUUUAGAUAUUUUAUUAGUUACAGUUUAGAAAUCUUCACAUUGUUUAAUGUUUCUUUUAACUAUUUCCACUAUUGAUUUUUAUAUAAUUUUAAUUCUUUUAUAGUCUGUUCGCUAAACUCAGACGCAACUGGCUACAUAUUUUAGUCGAUAAUUUUUUUGUUUUUUGCCAAUUUUGCGAAAUUACUAACUAUUUAGUGAUUAUUAACUAUUUAGUAAUUAUUUUUUGCCAAUUUUACUAAAAUUGGCAAAAUUACCGACUAAAAUAUCUAGAAAAUUGCGUCUGAGUUUAGCGAACAGACUAUAAUAUAUUUUCUGAUUUAUAUCUAACAUUUGUUUUCGAUUUUUAAAUUAUAUAUUGUGUUCUAUUCAAUUUUGAAUUUUAGAUGUUACAGUAAGAAAUAUUUUACAACCUGGCAACACUGUCAGUGUUUUUAGAUUACCUCAAAUGUCAACUACAAAUUGGUUAUGUUUGGUUGCCCUAAACUUGAUGUUGUCCAAAAAGUGUAUUGGCUAGUUGGAAGAAAGUCCACAUUGUCCAUGCAUAAUAAGUUAUUACUUUAUCAACAAAUAUCAAGAAGAUAGCAGGAAGUCACAAGCAACACGAGCAAUUGAACAACUUCAUAAGUUCAAGAAUAUCGAGGAAAUCCAGCUCCUCGAUACUACUGGGCAAACUAGAAGAUUGAAGAGGACAAAGCCUUUUGAACUAGUUUGAGUGAUAGGUGAUAGUGAAAAACGGAGCAUAGUGCUUGUGUGCUGUGCCUGUGUAUGUUAGAAUAGUGCACGAUCUUGUUAGAUUAGAUAAGAGACGCUAUGGGGUAAGCUCUUCAUUUUAAGAAACAGUAGUCAUUUAGGUUAAAUUAAAAUUGCUCCUUGGUCAGCUAUGACCAGAUUGUUUUUUUAUGUUUGGCAAAAAGGACUUAAGUCAGAAUUGCACAUUGAUAAUGUUUUGAUGAUUUCUGGACCAGAAAAAAACUGUUGUAGAUGUAAACUGUAUGUACAGUAGAAUCUACUACAGUACUGUAGAAAUCAUCAAAACAUUAUCGAUGUGCAAUUCUGACUUAAGCCCUUUUUCCCAAACAUCAGAGAAUUGUAAUGUACAAUAAUUCUCCUAUCUGCUUUUUCAUGAAUUUUGUAGGAGACGAAAAACCAUUUUUAGGAUCAUCUGCUUUCACAUGUAAAUUUUGACAUGUUUUGUAGUAAAUAGAUAGUUGAAUUUACUACAAAACAUGUCAAAAAAUAUAUGAAAACAGGAGGUGACUAUAAAAAAAGUUUUUAGUCUCUCUUACAAGACUCAUGAAAAAACAAAUCGGAGGUAUGUCACAUCUGUGACUAUAUCCAGGGAAUGUCUAAAAAAUAUACUUUGAUGUCCCAAGAACCAAAUAUAACCUACAGUCCAUCUAAUUUGCUUACUGUUGCACGUCAUUAUCUACGCCAGAGAUCUAAGUUGACAUAGUUGCCAAAGUAUAAAAAGAUCCUGAAUCCAUUUUAAAUCAAAUAUAUCACAUAAUUAUUGUAAACGUGGAUUAUACAACAAAACAAAUUUAAUAUUCAAUGUAAAUAAGUAAAAACUUAAGAAAUAGAGAACAAGAAUUAAGUUAUAAUCUUUUAAGAUUUGCAGUGCAAGCGUUUUUGCACUGCAUUGUUAAUAAUUAAAAAACGGCUCCGAACUCUUGGCAAAAAGCCGGUAGGUUUCUUUGUAUAAGUAUGUCUACAAUAACAACUAAAAAAGUUGUCAGAUACCACGAUGAUUAUUCCAAGUCGUUAUAAAAUUAGGUGAAAUUUAUAUUUUUAUAGUAGAGGAUCUUUUUAUAGUAAAGUAAAUAAUAAAGACAGUAAAUAUAAUAAAUAAAACAGAUACUUAUAGUAAAGAAUAUAAACAAAUAUGAAGUGUCAUCACCACAACUGUCAAAUAAAUGUUACCAAUUUAUUCUAAAAUGUCACCUUCGUUCGAUUACAGUUACAGUGUGAUCCGAACAAAUCUGCUUCAUAAAAACGCUUUAUAAUCCAUUUAUACAAAUUAAAUGAAACAUAUUAUUGUGUAUUUCUUUAGGUUAACAUUAAUAGAAAUCUUCAAAUAUUAUUUCUACGCGUAUAUAAUAAAAUAUGUCUAGAGUCUGUAUUUCCAGUGUACUCAGCAAAGUGAUUCUAAAAAAGGACACACCUACCGCCUAAAUAUGUCGUGUUGGUAUCAUGCGACCUCACAGACUACGACGCGGAUGACGCACAACAGUUAGUAAAUUAGACGAAGUAUGUAGAUAUAUACAGGGUGUAACAAAAAUACAGGUCAUAAAUUUAAUCACAUAUUCUGGGACCAAAAAUAGUUUGAUUGGACCUAACUUACCUUAGUACAAAUGUGCACACAAGAAAAAUCUUACGAAAAAACUAUAGUAAAAUUUGGACACCCCAUAAAAAUUUUAUGGGGGUUUUCUUCCUUUAAACCCCCCCCCCCAAACUUUUGUGCACGUUUCAAUUAUUUUAUUAUUGUAGUACCAUUUAAACACAACGUUUUAAAAACUUUUUUGCCUCUUAUUGCUUUUUGGAAAAGUCAAUUUUUAUCGAAAUAUUUUGAAUAUUUGUCAAAUCCACCACAUAUUUGUAUAUGUUUAAGUACGAUUAUGGAGACUUGGUAAUAAUAUGCAGACUUAUUUAUGCUUUACAUUUUUAGGUAUAUUUUGAACCAUAUUAAAAAAGAAGCCAGAUCUCGAUAAAAUGUGCCUUAUCGAAAAAAUACAAAGAGGCAAAAAAGUUUUAAAAACAUUCUGUUUAACUAAUGGUACCUCAGUAAUAGUUUAAUUGGAACGUACACAAACAUUUGGGGGGUUUAAAGGAACAAAACCCCCAUAAAAUUUUUAUGUAGACAUGUUAAAAAAGAAGUCGCAACUCGAUAAAAACUGCCUUAUCUGAAAAAUACUAAGAAACAAAAAUAUUGAAUUUAACUAAUGGUACCUACCACAAUAAUAAAAUUGAAUUGGAACGUACACAAAAGUUUGGGAGGAUCUAAGGGAUCAAAACCCCCAUAAAAUUUUUAUGGGGUGCACAAAUUUCACCAUAAUUUUUGUUUAAGAUAUUCCUGCCAUAAUACUGCCACAUGUCCAUUUUCAAUAAAAAAUCGCUAAUAGUUUUCGAUAUAAUCGAAAAAAUCGAUUUUCAUUUUGUAAUUUCAAAGGGCUGUAACUUUUUUUGGUCCCAGAAUAUGUGAUUUAAUUUAUGACCUGUAUUUUUGUUACACCCUGUAUAUACAGCCGAUUACGCACCACCUUAAAAAUUGGGCAUUUUUGAUGUCUCGAAUUUCCUAAACCUGUUGUUGCAUCUAAGUGAUUUUUUUAUAAUAUUCUAGCCUAGGCCCUAGGCUAUAGGUUAAGUACCUCCUUAUGCUUGUCAUGCACGGGGAGCUAUACUGUAAUAUAUAUUAUAUCACAUCGCUCUCUAUAGUAAUGAGUGAGCCUGUACAUACGGAACCAUUUGUUUCCUGUCUGCAGGCUCACUCAUUACUAUAGAGAGCGAUAUGAUAUAAUGUACAUAUAUUACAGCAUAGCUCCCUGUGCGUGACAAGCUUAAGGAGGUAACAUAUAGCCUAGGCUAUAAUAUUAUAAAAAAAUCACUUAGAUGAAACAACAGGUUUAGGAAAUACGAGACAUCAAAAAUACCCCAUAUCUAAGGUGGUGCGUUAAUUUCUUGGAGAAGUGUAUUGUAAUUUAAUGUAAAUAAUGUAAUAUCCAAUAAUUGUAAUUUAAUAUAAGAUGUAAUAUAAGUUCCUUAAAAAAUAUAUUUUUUAUUUCCCACGACAUUAGAUGGAUGUUCGGCAGCAAGACAUUGGACCAAACUGGGACGUCCUAUGAAGGCCCAAUUGACGUCCACCGAACGUCCCUUCGGAUGUUAAGUGGACCUCCAUUGGACGUUUGGCAACGUGGCAUUUGGACCAAAAUUGGACGUCCUGUUAAUGUCCAAUUCACGUCCCCUAGGACGUCCGGUUAAGGUCCAAUUUACUUCCGAUUAAGGUCCAAUUUACGUCCGAUUAAGGUACCAUUUACGUCCGAUUAAGGUCCAAUUUACGUCCUAUUAAGGUCCAAUUUACGUCCGAUUAAGGUUCAAUUUACGUCCGAUUAAGGUCCAAUUUAUGUCCUAUUAAGGUCCAAUUUACGUCUGAUUAAGGUCCAAUUUACGUCCGAUUAAGGUCCAAUUUACGUCCCCUAGGAUGUCCGAUCAAGGUCCAAAUUACGUCCGAUUAAGGUCCAAUAUACGUCCCCUCGGACCUUAGAUGGACGUCCAAUGGACGUUCGGUAGCGCGACAUUUGGACCAAAAUAGGACGUAUAAAGGACGUUCCUCGGACGAAAACGGACGUCCAAUGGACGUCCCUAAAGUCCGUGAAGGACGUCCAAUGGACGUCCAUUGGACGUCCUUGUGCUAU